rnacentral:rRNA from 1 species
CGAAGUGNAAGUGUGAACACCCUCGAACGUGGCAGCGCGACGAGCGAAAGUAUGCUGCUACUUUGCCGGCGAGCGGCGGACGGGUGAGUAAUGUCUGGGAAACUGCCUGAUGGAGGGGGAUAACUACUGGAAACGGUAGCUAAUACCGCAUAACGUCGCAAGACCAAAGAGGGGGACCUUCGGGCCUCUUGCCAUCAGAUGUGCCCAGAUGGGAUUAGCUAGUAGGUGGGGUAACUGGCUCACCUAGGCGACGAUCCCUAGCUGGUCUGAGAGGAUGACCAGCCACACUGGAAGCUGAGACAGCGGUCCAGACUCCUACGGGAGGCAGCAGUGGGG